rnacentral:piRNA from 1 species
GAGAAGAGCAGAGGAGACAAUCUAGCGUGU